AUUGAACGCUGGCGGCAGGCCUAACACAUGCAAGUCGAGCGGAUGAAGGGAGCUUGCUCCUGGAUUCAGCGGCGGACGGGGGAGUAAUGCCUAGGAAUCUGCCUGGUAGUGGGGGAUAACGUCCUGAAACGGGCGCUAAUACCGCAUACGUCCUGAGGGAGAAGGUGGGGGAUCUUCGGACCUCACGCUAUCAGAUGAGCCUAGGUCGGAUUAGCUAGUUGGUGGGGUAAAGGCCUACCAAGGCGACGAUCCGUAACUGGUCUGAGAGGAUGGUCAGUCACCUGGGAACUGAGACACGGUCCAGGCUCCUACGGGAGGCACCAGAGGGGAAUAUUGGGCAAUGGGCGAGAGCCUGAUACAGCCAGGCCGAGUGUGUGAAGAAGGUCUUCGGAUUGUAAAGACCUUUAAGUUGGGAGGAAGGGCAGUAAGUAAAGACCUUGCUGUUUUGACGUUACCUACAGAAGAAGCACCGGCUAACUACGUG
rnacentral:rRNA from 1 species